GAUGAACGCUGGCGGCGUGCCUAAUACAUGCAAGUCGAGCGAACAGACGAGGAGCUUGCUCCUCUGACGAUAGCGGCGGACGGGUGAGUAACACGAGGAUAACCUACCUAUAUGACUGGGAUCAUUUCGGGAAACCGGAGCUAAUACCGGAUAAUAUACUGAUGCGCAUGGUUCAAUAGUGAGAGACGGUUUUUCGGUCUAUUAUAGAGGGAUAUGCGCCGGAUUGGCUAGUUGGUAAGGUAACGGCUUCUCAAGGGGACGAUGCGUAGGCGGACUGAGAGGGUGGUCGGCCACCCUGGAACUGAGACACGCACCAUGCGCCUGCGGGAGGCCGCAGUCGGCAAUCGGCCGCAAUGGGCGGAAACCUGACGGAGCAGCGCCGCGUGAGUGAUGAAGAUCUUCGGAUCGUAAAACUCGGUUAUUAGGGAAGAACAAAUGUGUAAUUAACUAUGCACGUCUUGACGGUACCUAGUCAGAAAGCCACGGCUAACUACGUG
rnacentral:rRNA from 1 species